UCCAGCAGUCCAAGAUUUAGUCAAUGGCCUAACGGCUGAACUGGCAACUUGGAGAAGUGGCAAGUCUUCCAGUAUGGGGAGCAAAACAGCUAUGGGUCAAGUCCGAUAUCUUUAGGAGAAGUCUUAUUGUGAGGGCGAGUUAUAUAACACCAUAGGACUGGCCGUCCCAUAUGAAAAGAUUAUAUUAGAAUUGAAUGAAGCUUUGUUUAUAUAUUGAUAAUGACAGUAUAUAUAUCGUGUCUUGACUAAUUGCGUGCCAGCAGUCGCGGUAAUACGUAAGAGACUAGUGUUAUUCAUCUUAAUUAGGUUUAAAGGGUACCCAGACGGUCAAUAUAGCUUAUAAAAUGUUAGUACUUGACUAGAGUUUUAUGUAAGAGGGCAGUACUUGAGGAGGAGAGAUGAAAUUUCGUGAUACCAAAGGGACUCUGUAAAGGCGAAGGCAGCCCUCUAUGUAAAAACUGACGUUGAAGGACGAAGGCACAGAGAACAAACAGGAUUAGAUACCCAAGUAGUCUUUGCAGUAAAUGAUGAAUGCCAUAGGUUAGAUUGGUCAAUUAUAGUCUAGGGUUAGUCUAGCAAACUAAUACCCUAUGCUAUAAUCCUAAUAUCUGGUCUAUAAAUGAAAGUGUAAGCAUUUCACCUCAAGAGUAAUGUGGCAACGCAGGAACUGAAAUCACUAGACCGUUUCUGACACCAGUAGUGAAGUAUGUUAUUUAUUCCCGAUAAUCCSCAAAA
rnacentral:rRNA from 1 species